rnacentral:rRNA from 2 species
UACUCCUACGGGAGGCAGCAGUGGGGAAUAUUCCGCAAUGGACGAAAGUCUGACGGAGCAACGCCGCGUGAGUGAUGAAGGUUUUCGGACUGUAAAGCUCUGUUGUUUAGGACGAAAGUGCCUGUUGCGAACAGUUACAGGUAUUGACGGUACUAAACGAGGAAGCCACGGCUAACUACGUGCCAGCAGCCGCGGUAAUA